AUUGAACGCUGGCGGCAGGCCUAACACAUGCAAGUCGAACGAGUGGCGGACGGGUGAGUAAUGUCUGGGAAACUGCCUGAUGGAGGGGGAUAACUACUGGAAACGGUAGCUAAUACCGCAUACCAUCAGAUGUGCCCAGAUGGGAUUAGCUAGUUGGUGGGGUAACGGCUCACCAAGGCGACGAUCCCUAGCUGGUCUGAGAGGAUGACCAGCCACAUUGGAACUGAGACACGGUCCAGAAUCCUACGGGAGGCAGCAGUGGGGAAUAUUGGACAAUGGGCGCAAGCCUGAUGCAGACAUGCCGCGUGGAUGAAGAAGGCCUGCGGGUUGUAAAGUACUUUCAGCGGAGAGGCGUUACCCGCAGAAGAAGCACCGACUAACUCCGUGCCAGCCGCCGCGGUAAUUC
rnacentral:rRNA from 1 species